GCCGAAGAGCGUGCGGCUUCUACUGCGGCUGCGCAAGCUCGACGCGCGCACUCUUGUCUGCUUACGAGGGCUCCUCCCUUCAGCUUUGGUCCCUCGGGGCGUCUGGGCAGCCUACGCUUUCCGACUGGAAUCAGCCAUUUUACCAAGAAAGUUGGGUUUCUUUUACUGGCAAAUAGUACUUCAAGAGCACAGUCUUAUGUAAGCAUGACCCAUCUGCCUGGCACCAGCACCUGGGGCUGCCAGGCAGCCACCCCUGCAGCUGUGUUGACAGGACCUGGCAGAGGGACUGACCCACCUUUGGAAAAUGACACCAGCAAUAUCAGGAUGUGUCAACUGGAUUUAUGCUAAGAAAAUAGGAUUUUUGGUGUUCCUCUGUUUCCCAAAGUUUGAGACACUUUCAGACACUCUGCUUUGCGGUUGUGGCCGAUGUUACCCAUGGGUGGGACUUUUGCUUUGCUCUAGAUUUUUGUAACACCCUGGGGAGUUUCAGGGGCCAAUGCUGAGAGAAGACCACAGGCUGACACAUCAUGAGGUAUGUUGGUAAAACAGUCCCGGCUGGCCGAGAGGCCACUGAGGGAACAGGCCCAGGGUUUGGUUUGUACUCUGUGAGUCUUGGCCUGGCAGGGUUUCCUGCAAAGCAGAGUCCUCUGAGUGGGACCCCAGGGGAAGCAGGUUGUUGCCUGGAGCUGAGGGGCAGCUCUGUAUUCAGGAGGGGUGCCUGCCUUCCCAUCUCCCCUGUGACCAGAUGUCACAGAAACAUUCUCUCUUUACUCCCUAGACCCUCUGGGCAGGUCCACUAAGAGCAUGUAUUCUAGAACAUGCAGGGCUUGAAGCUUCACAAGAUAUUCAGUGCACUCCUUACAGAUCCUGUCAAAUGUGGACCGGGUGGUGUCAUCGCACCACCAUCAUCCCCUUGUUACCCCUGAGAACACAGCUUCAGAGAGGGUAAGUAACCUAUCUCAGGCCACACAGCCAGGACAUGGAGUAGAUCCAUCCUAAGUCUUUCUACCACACACUCCUUUCUACAGUCAUGGGUUAAAUGAGGGUGCCAUGGAAUGGGUCAUCCAGUGUACACUGACAUCAGGAGGAGUUUCACAUUCAUACACUCAUGGCAAAUGGUUCUGUUGCUCCCUGGUCCAAAGAUGAUCUUAAUAGUAGGAAAAACUCAUUUGGCAGAAGCAAGACUCAGCACACAGGCUCUCUCCCUGAGUCUUCUGUGGCUGGCCUUGCCCUGCCCUCCCCUCCCCAACCCCACUGGCAGAAUAAAGUCGGGGGGCUGUGAGGACUGAGCCCCAGGCCUUGACAGGCACCCGCAGCCAGCCGAACUCCCACCUGCCCAGUUGGAGGGGUGCGAGAAGGCCUUGCUGCUCUGCACCACCUUCAUGGCCUCCCCCAGGGCGGCGCUGGCUUUCAGGCCGUUCAGCAGGGAUGAGUAGAAGGCAUGGAUGAACAUCUUAGAAGCAGCCACUGGCACAGGCCACAGAGACACGAGGACACACUGAGCGCCGGCAGCCAGGAAGGCCCUUGUCAGCGCGAUGACCCCGUCGGCUGUGACUUUGCUGUUGGACUCCUGGGAGGAGCCAAGCACCACCAGCUUCACAGGCAGCUGCAGGUCCAGGACGUCGGCGGCAGUGCCUAACUUACUGAGAAUCAUGCCUGCUGUGAUGAGCCCUUGGAAACCAUCAGGACUGGAUGGUAGGGGUCCUGAGAGGAUUGGGGGAGGAGGCCUUGAUAUGACAGAGUGGACAGAGGCCGUGGAACCCAGGACAGCCAGCCUGCUCCACAAUCCUCAUCCCCACAGACCUUCAUGUGUGGCUCCUAAAUAAGAGGAAACCCACUCCUGAUAAGUCAGGGGCUUUGAAAAGUGAUUUUGUUUAAAUGGUGCAAACAAGCAAGCCAAUCUUGGGGAGACAGGGCUAAACUUAAGUCCUUUAAGAAGCUCUACAUACUGACAAGAUUCUAGUUCCCUUCCACCUUAUAUGCUGCAAAGUAAAAAGUAUCACUGAAUGAGAAAAUCAGCAUAAAGAAGCCCAAUAAUGUCUGCCUGAGUUUCCCCUAUGAUGACUUUUGGUACUUUUUGGGAAACAUUAAGUAUGAAGUUAUUUCAAAAUAAUUUUUUGGUGCCUCUGCUUGGUGAUGCCUUAAACUCUGGGUAAGAGAAACACCAGGUGCCUGUCAGGAGAUGGCCUUUUCCAGGUUUCUGGUUAAGCUACAAACAGCUAACUGGCUGCUGUCAUCAAAAUAAAAGCUUUCUGAAGGUGGAGGCAUCUGAUACCCAGAGUGCUGCUAUCAGCCGGCACGGUGGGCCGCUGGGUGGCAGGAGCGUCGAGAAGGCCAGCUCGCUUCCUAUCUGGGAUUCAGAAUCAGCUAUGGAAACUUGAGAGACCUAGAGAAAAUAACUUCUUUCACUUUGAACUGAUUCUUUGCUUCAUAAGAAAAGUAUUAUCCAGCCACAAAAAUGGUCAAAAUUCAGAUCUACAAAAGCCUGUCAGGCAGAAACUGACCCCACUUAGGCCACGCCAAUGAGCAAGUCAUCAAAGCAGCCAAGACAGGUCCUGUGGGGGCCACCCAUGCACAGGGCCCAGCCUCGGGUCCUAACCCCGCCUAUGCUUUCCGCCACCAUAAAGAGGCCCAUCUGGGUAAGACCUGUCCCGCCUGCUGUGGGGUAUUAGGGCAGAUGGGGUCUGAGGGGUCUGAGGGCUCUGAGAGCAGCUGGCAGCUCAAGGACAUCCGGAGUUGGAGGAUGGAGCAAUGCAGGCCCUUGUGGUAAAGACAGUCCUGCAGCCGCGCAGGCAGGGAUGCUGCAAGUGGAGUGCCAGGCGGGUGCGGAGCCCUGUGGGACUGUGGAGGGGUCAGAGGGAAGCCAGGAUUUUGGGGUCUCUGAGAGUUUGGAGAAGGGGAAGAAGAUUAAAGCUUGUUUCAAAAGUUUCUAAUCAGGUGGGCAGGGCCAAGGGUGGCUGUGGGGUGAGACCCAUGACUCAGGGUGGCCCACUGUUACUCUAUUGAUUUUUGGGCGUUUUUUUCCAAAUUGAUUAUUCUUGCUGAAUGAGACCUGAGUCCUUGACUGUCCCCUUAAAGCCACCUGACUUGUUUUCAGUUCCACUGGCCUGUCGGGCUGUUUUCUACUCAACUCCACUCUUGCUUGUCUGCCCUCCCUGCCUGGGGCCCAGCCAGCAGUCAGCUCAAGGGCCAGAUGAAUUGGGUGGCUGUGCUCUGCCCACUGGGCAUCGUGUGGAUGGUGGGUGACCAGCCCCCUCAGGUGCUCAGCCAGGCCUCAAGCCUUGCUGUGUACCUCAGAGCAGCUCCGUACCCUGAUGUCACAGCAAAGAAACUUAGACAUGACACAAACUGUGGCUUCCCAAGGCAGCAAAGAAUGGCCAGGGGUCAUGAGGGCCGUGCCCCACUUUUGGACAGACCUACUCUAAAGUCACGCUACCUGCGUGCAAAUCAUAAAAUCAACACUUUUGAGGAGAUCACAGCUAUGCCUUCGUAACACAGCCCAGUCCGACCAGAUAGACGGUGCCUCGUGACCCGAAAACAAGCCCCCGGCCCCCCACCAUGUGUGUGAGCCUUACCUUGGACUGCACGCUGAGGGAGCGGAUGGAAGGGACAGCAAGGAGGCCGAAGCGCUCGUAGAGGUACUCAUUGGAGGAGCUUCCCUUCAGGAGGGCGAAAGGAAUGAGGUAGAGCUCCCCCUCCAGAACCAGGAUGAGCUGCCGGUGCCGGCCCACGGGGCCGCUGGAGUGCAUCAGGCCCUAUGGAGCAAGCACGGAGAGGCUGACAUGGGUGGCCCAGCAGGCAGGGGUUUCAGGCACCAGGACAACCCUGAGCCCUAGCCUGGAUGACACAAGCACGAGCAGGUGAGGCCUGUGGGGGUGUGGGGCGCCAUGGGGCAUGGGCCGAGUUGCAGCCCUGCAGGAGCGGCACCAACUGGCAUGCUCGCUUGUGGACUGGCAAGGGCUGGCCUGGCAGCAUCCAUCUGCCUCACAGUCCUGAGAAGGUUAGAGGACAGUUUCUUGAAGUUCACAAGAACCUGAAGUGGGUUGGAGACCGGUCUGUACCGCACAGGCACCCUGAGAAGGGGUGGGAAUGGCCCCUCUCAAAACAAGAUCUGUUUUCCAUUUCAAUGGACAAGAGGCUAGAAAAUCACAGUGAGGACGGGAGGUCUGGGGGCUGGCAUGACAGCCCCUGUAGAAGGGGAUGGGCUGGGUUCUAGGAUCUUCCGUGACCUCCUCUGAGAAAGAGUGGCCCCUUGGCUCUGGGCUUGGGAGGUGCCGUCCCCACUUGUUCCCUCUGGGGAUGUCAGGGGACCCAAUGCAUGGAUGACUCCCAUCCCUCUUGAAAGGCCGAGCAUGAGGACUCGAGGCAGGGUGUGCACAGGGCCACAGCGGACACAGCCUCAUUCCUGUUCAUUGCAGAACAAGGCUAAGGGCGCGGGCAUCUUAAUGAGAGCAGCAGGCAACAAUCCUGGAAGCUGGGUCCACACAGACUGCGGUGAACAAAGAGGUGGCGUGGAAGCUGCUGCUGCAGCCCAGAGCCUGCCAAGAAGGUCCCAGGUCCACAGGGCCUGCGCAACACUGGGUGCCAGGGGUGGGGCUGGCCUGCCCCCCAACCCCAUCUGCUGAGGAGUGGCUGACAAGCGGACACCCACCAGGGUGCCACUCGCUUGUGCCUGGGGAAGCAAAUGUGCUCGCUUGACCCGUCUGAUGUGCUGCCGUGGGCACUUGACUGAGAGUGGCAGAGCACUAGGCUAACCCAAAGUGACACAUGCCUGGCGGGAUGUUCAGUCU
ensembl:lncRNA TTC28-AS1 TTC28 antisense RNA 1